rnacentral:hammerhead_ribozyme from 1 species
GCACUGCAGUCGAGUCCCAUAAUAAGACGAAACAGCUGUCUAGUGC